rnacentral:rRNA from 1 species
GUGCCAGCCGCCGCGGUAAAACGUAGGAGGCGAGCGUUAUCCGGAUUUACUGGGUGUAAAGCGUGUGCAGGCGGUACGGUAAGUUGGAUGUGAAAGCUCCUGGCUUAACUGGGAGAGGUCGUUCAAAACUACCGAACUUGAGUAUGGGAGAGGGAGGCGGAAUUCCGGGUGUAGUGGUGAAAUGCGUAGAUAUCCGGAGGAACACCAGUGGCGAAAGCGGCCUCCUGGCCCAAAACUGACGCUCAGACACGAAAGCUAGGGGAGCGAACGGGAUUAGAAACCCCCGUAGUCC